GUGUUAUACUCAUAGUUGGCUUGACCUGAAUAUGAGCGCUGAUAUUUCUGCAGGUGAAGGAGCGUUGUUCCUGUUGAACUUGUUUAGGAGUCGACAGGAUGUCCUUUAAAGCAUUUAUCUGCUAACUUAAGACGAGGCAGUUAUGUUUUGAAUGUACUUUCCAAAUAUUACGUAUGAAAUGAGUCUAUAGCAGCUGCAGACUCAUCUUUGCAAUAUCAUAGCCUAGCAUAAAAAGUGAGCUGCUGAAGUGGAAUAGUAGUGGGUCAUUUUUUUUCCAAGCGUGGUCGAGUUUUGUUUUGACAAACAGGGUUUUGGUUCCUCCUGCCGACAUGGAGUCGUUCGGAUGCAUUUCCAGUGUCCUCGGAUGCUCUGCUUGCGUUGCGCUGACUGGGGUUGUGUUUGCUGCCUACAAACUUGGUGUAAUCUACCAGUUGUUUCACAAGACUGAAACAAAGAGCCCCCGGCAUGGAGGGGAGAGUGUUGCCGAAGUCCUCCGUGCGCAUGGAAUCCAGUUCCUUUUCACCCUCGUUGGUGGGCACAUCUCUCCCAUCCUGGUGGCCUGCGAGAAGGUUGGCAUCCGUGUCGUUGACACCAGACACGAAGCCACUGCUGUCUUUGCUGCUGAUGCUGUGGCGAGGCUCUCAGGCACUGUUGGAGUAGCCGCAGUGACUGCUGGCCCGGGCCUGACUAACACAGUGACAGCAGUGAAGAAUGCUCAAAUGGCGGAAUCUCCAUUGCUGCUUUUGGGAGGAGCUGCUGGUACAUUACUGCAGGGCAGAGGGGCACUGCAGGACAUCGACCAGAUGUCUCUCUUCAGGCCUCUUUGUAAGUUCUGUGCCUCCAUCCAGACCGUCAGGGAGAUCGUGCCAACACUCAGAAAGGCUCUAGCCAUUGCUCAGUCAGGAACUCCUGGUCCUGUUUUCAUCGAGUUCCCCAUUGAUACGCUGUACCCAUACCACCUGGUGUCCAAAGAGUUUGCUGUUAAAAAUCCUCCCAAAGGGCUGAUGGGAAAAAUUGUCUCAUGGUACCUCAAUAAUCACCUCAUGAACCUUUUUGCUGGAGCCUGGGAGACCAGAGAUGUUUCUCCACUUCCUGUUCACAUCCCUCAAGCCACGGAUGAUCAGGUACAAAGAUGCAUAGAGCUAGUGAGUCGAGCCAAGAAACCCGUCAUUCUCCUUGGGAGCCAAGCUACACUCCCUCCUACGCCAGCAGAAGACAUCAGGAAGGCUUUGGAGAAUCUAGGUAUCCCCUGCUUUCUUGGGGGUAUGUCCCGGGGCAUGCUGGGAAAAGACAGCCCUAUCCACAUCCGACAGAACAGACGGGACGCUCUCAAAGAGGCCGACCUGGUUCUCCUUGCAGGCACUGUGUGUGACUUCCGACUGAGCUAUGGCAGAGUUCUGAACAGAAGGAGCAAGAUAAUCGCUGUCAACAGGGACAAGUCACAGCUGCUGAAAAACUCUGAUAUGUUCUGGAAACCAACUAUAGCAAUUCAGGGUGACGCUGGGUCAUUUAUUGUGCGUCUCUCUAAGGGGCUGAAGGGCCAUCGCUGUCCUGAGGAAUGGCCUCAGAGCCUCAAAGCUGGAGAUUCUACCAAAGAAGAUGCAAACAGGGCUAAAGCUAAUGAGAAGACGGAACACCACCUAAAUCCUUUAAAAGUCCUCCACUGUGUGGAUGAGCUGAUGGCUGAGGACAGCAUCAUUGUAGCAGAUGGGGGAGAUUUUGUGGGAAGUGCUGCCUAUAUAAUGAGACCAAGAGGACCUUUGCGUUGGUUGGAUCCAGUUGGUUCAUGUUCCUGUAGGAGCCUUUGGAACUCUGGGAGUAGGAGGAGGUUUUGCUUUGGGAGCAAAACUGUGCCGUCCUGAGUCUGAGGUGUGGAUAGUCUAUGGAGACGGCUCCCUGGGCUACAGUGUUGCAGAGUAUGACACAUUUACCCGGCACAAGGUAAACGCAUGAAUCUUUGACUUAAACAUGCAAGACUCAGAUAUUCAUCUGAUACAGGAAAAAGGUCACACUUUGUUCUGAUUUAUCACAGUGUGUUUGCUCACACUGUUAGGAUUUCUCACCAUCCUAGUUUGUUUAGAGAUGCACAGAUCAGAGUUCUGUGUCUGAUUUAUGAGCGCUAAAUAAAUAGGGCACUUUAGUGCAGGUCUAGUUUUUGUACAGGUUUUGGUAAAUUCUUUUUCUGUAAGAAUUUUACUAUAAUAUAUAUUUUUUAGCUUUCCUGUUAACAGAAACUAUAGUGAAAGCUGAGGUUGCCAUUCUGCUGUGCAAGAAAGCACUUGAUCUGAAACGGGCUUUCACAGAAACAUUGCAACCCUACUGGUCAGAGCAGAGAAGGGCUGAGCUCACCAUGUGGAUAUUUUAACCUUUUUCAUGUGUUUUGUGUGAUGUAAACUUGGUAAUGUUCUCUAUUUUUUCCUUUGCGGUGUUUGACUUGUGAAAUGUUGGACGUGUGGACAGUGAACACAUUAGUGAGCUCCACCCGGUUGCUUUUAAUUACUUGCCUUGAUGCCGUCUUUAAUUUUUCCUUUGACAUGGGUAUAGAUAAUGCUAAGAUAAUGGUCUGGGUGGAGCUUACCUGAAACAGAGCUGAAGAUUGAUCUUUGAUUUCUGUGUUUAAUAUCCUUUAGCAGUGAAGCACCUAAUUUAGCUAUUGAUUGCUAAAUCAAUAGCUAUUGAUUGCCGAAAUCUUAACUUCAGUGGGGGAAGUUGGUACUUUUACUGCUCUGAAAAAGAUAUGAUUUUUGAGCCUUCAACCUGGUGAACAUCAGUCAAGGCUGAUGAAACUGAAAAAAAAAAUACAGUUAUUAAAUUCUGAUCGCUAAUUUUUUAUGCAGGCAUAGAAGCAAAUGGAUGUGCUGCUACAUUGACCAGAUGGUGUACUGUGAUUAUUUUACUUGAUCACUUUGCUCUUCAGACACCAGUUAUAUCUGUGGUUGGAAACGAUGCGUGUUGGAGUCAGAUCUCCAGAGAGCAGGUUCCCAUCCUUGGUAGCAACGUGGCUUGUGGCCUUGCUUUUACAGAUUAUCACACAGUGGCAGAUGGUUAUGGCGGUAAGGGCUACCUUGUCAGACGAGAAGACGAGAACCGGCUAAGUGACAUCA